GCACGCGUUUCCUUCUCACCACAGUCCCGAGAAAAGGCCUAGACAAAAAGCACCUGUGCAUGUGACGUGACUGCGCACGGAAGCCUCCCCCUCCUCGUGGCCUCUCGGAGUGCGGGAGCUGAAGGCUGGCGGGGACGGCCGCAGCUGUGUGCCUGGGGUCAGACCCGGGGAGCAGCUGCUCAGCCUGGGAACAGCGUCCCAGCUGGCUGAGGCCCAGGAGCGUGGAAGUCCGACUGGAUGGGGUCAGGAACAGGAAGCAAUUUGAGAUAAUUGGCAUGUGUCCUGAGAAUUUGAACAAGCGGAGCAGUGGAUUAGGACUUGAUGUGACCCUAAGGUCAAAUGUUUGCAGAGAAGAGCAGCUGAGUCUGGUGGGACCCGAUGGUCAAGCUUUGGAAACAUGGCUGUACCCUCCCAGGGUGUGUAUUGGUUAUGAAAGAAGGACCCGGUGCUACAGUGUGUGCAGACGGACAUACAGCACUGGGGAGCAGACAGUUCACGGGCGCUGCCCCGGCUGGAGCCCAUGGGCUGAUGAACUGGGCAACUGCACCGUCUUCUUCCUCAUGGUCUUAUUCCUGUGCAUCUGA
rnacentral:lncRNA from 1 species